rnacentral:rRNA from 1 species
UCCACUUUAAUUUGAUGGUAUCCGUAAGCAUUAAAUAUAUUCAAAUAUGGACUCUUAAGGAAUCUUAUCCAGUUUAAAAUCUUAAAUAAUAUAAGAAAUUAUAAUUUAGAUAAUUUAUUAAUUUAGGUUUAUUAGGUGCCAGCAACCGCGGUCAAACCUAAUAAGUUAGCUUACAGGCUUAUUAAUAGUUCAAAAUAAAACCUUUAAAUAAGAUAAUAAAUAGUGAAAUAUUAUUAUCGUUUUCUUUUCUUUUAAAGGAAAUACUAUGUUAAACUCAUAUCUAAAACUAGGAUUAGAGACCCUAUUAUUGUGAGUUAAAAACAACUAUUAUUAAGGAGUAAAAUUAAACAAUUUAAACUUAAAAAUUAUGGCGGCUAAACAAAACACUUAGGGGAACUUACCAUAUAAUUGAUAACCACCAAGCAUAAUCUCACUUACUUUAAAAAUUUGUAUACCGUUGUGUCCAUAAACCCUUCAAAGCGGGUUUAUACAUAUUUCUAGAUAUAAACACAAAUCAAGGUGCAGUCUAUUAGUAAGAAAUAAGGUGAGUUACAAUAUAAUUUUAUUUCGGAUUUAAAAAUGAAAUAUUAAAUGAAGGCGGACUUAAAAGUAAUAUUUAAGGAUUUUAAUAUAAUAUGAAUAUGUU